GAUGAAGAACGCAGCGAAAUGCGAUAAGUAAUGUGAAUUGCAGAAUUCAGUGAAUCAUCGAAUCUUUGAACGCACAUUGCGCCCGCCAGUAUUCUGGCGGGCAUGCCUGUCCGAGCGUCAUUUCAACCCUCGAACCCCUCCGGGGGGUCGGCGUUGGGGAUCGGCCCUGCCUCUUGGCGGUGGCCGUCUCCGAAAUACAGUGGCGGUCUCGCCGCAGCCUCUCCUGCGCAGUAGUUUGCACACUCGCAUCGGGAGCGCGGCGCGUCCACAGCCGUUAAACACCCAACUUCUGAAAUGUUGACCUCGGAUCAGGUAGGAAUACCGGCUGAACUUAGGCAUAUCAAUAAGCGGAGGA
rnacentral:misc_RNA from 1 species